CGUCAACAGUUGGGUCAUCUUCGACUGUACAGCUGUCAAACCCAUAUGUGUCAUCGCCAAAAUUUCCGAUGGCAGGAAAUGGCCAGGAUGCCCAAAAUAUAUCCUGUCAAAACAAAGAAAUUUUGUACCUCAAGGCGCUAUUCGGGAUUUCUUCAACGCUUGCCAUUGCUUUGCCAUUUGCUGUUUACUUUUACAUGCAACGCAAGUUACAAGCGAAGGAGCGGGAGUAUGACAACCAAUCUUCAAAGUCCGAUUUGCUGAUGGAGAACAUCGGAGAGUCCACAUCAUAAGCUACGCAUUGGAGCUUACGACACGACAAGUUCAAAACACUAGUAACAGUUCUCAAAGAGUUACACUUAUACUUAUACACGACUGACAAUCGUUAACAUGUGGUCAAAUGAAUAUUACUCUGGCUGAAUGAAUGUAUAUUAUUCAGAUUGCACCAAACCCUUUUUUGACAUCAGGAAGACGACUACCUAGAUACCAAGGCAGUCAUUUGGACUGUUUUCAAAUUUUGCAACAUCAUAACUUUGUGUUUGUAUAAGAGUUAUGUUGCGU